rnacentral:rRNA from 1 species
AAGCUCGUAGUUGAAUUUCGGGGUUCUACCGUUGGUCGGGCUAACAAGUCUGUACUAGCGUGUAGAAUCUCUACCUUCUGGGGAACCAUCAUGUUAUUAAUUUAGCGUGGUGGGAAACCAGGACCUUUACCUUGAAAAAAUUAGAGUGUUCAAAGCAGGCUUACGUCUGAAUACAUUAGCAUGGAAUAAUAAAAUAGGACGGUGGUCCUGUUUUGUUGGUUUCUGAAUCACCGUAAUGAUUAAUAGGGAUAGUCGGG